rnacentral:rRNA from 1 species
AUUGCACGCUGGCGGCAGGCCUAACACAUGCAAGUCGAACGAGUGGCGGACGGGUGAGUAAUGUCUGGGAAACUGCCCGAUGGAGGGGGAUAACUACUGGAAACGGUAGCUCAUACCGCAUACCAUCGGAUGUGCCCAGAUGGGAUUAGCUAGUCGGUGGGGUAACGGCUCACCUAGGCGACGAUCCCUAGCCGGUCGGAGAGGAUGACGAGCCACACUGGAACUGGGACACGGGCCAAACGCCUACGGGAGGCAGCAGUGGGGAAGAUUGCACAAUGGGCGCAAGCCUGAUGCCGCCAGGCCGGGUGUAUGAAGAAGGCCUUCGGGUUAUAAAGUACUUUCAGCGAGGAGACGUUACGCGCAAAGGAAGCACCGGCUAACUCCGUGCCAGCCGCCGCGGUAAUUC